rnacentral:rRNA from 1 species
AUUGAACGCUGGCGGCAUGCCUUACACAUGCCAGUCGAACGGUAACAGGUUAAGCUGCCGAGUGGCGAACGGGUGAGUAAUGUAUCGGAACGUGCCCAGUCGUGGGGGAUAACUGCUCGAAAGAGCAGCUAAUACCGCAUACGACCUGAGGGUGAAAGCGGGGGAUCGCAAGACCUCGCGCGAUUGGAGCGGCCGAUAUCAGAUUAGGUAGUUGGUGAGGUAAAGGCUCACCAAGCCGACGAUCUGUAGCUGGUCUGAGAGGACGACCAGCCACACUGGGACUGAGACACGGCCCAGACUCCUACGGGAGGCAGCAGUGGGGAAUUUUGGACAAUGGGCGCAAGCCUGAUCCAGCCAUGCCGCGUGCGGGAAGAAGGCCUUCGGGUUGUAAACCGCUUUUGUCAGGGAAGAAAAGGUUCUGGCUAAUACCUGGGACUCAUGACGGUACCUGAAGAAUAAGCACCGGCUAACUACGUG